GAUGAACGCUAGCGGCAGGCUUAAUACAUGCAAGUCGUGGGGCAGCAGGUCUGUAGCAAUACAGAUGCUGGCGACCGGCAAACGGGUGCGGAACACGUACACAACUUUCCUUUAAGUGGGGAAUAGCCCAGAGAAAUUUGGAUUAAUACCCCGUAACAUAGUGAAAAGGCAUCUUUUUAUUAUUAUAGCAGCAAUGCGCUUAAUGAUGGGUGUGCGUCUGAUUAGGUAGUUGGCGGAGUAAUAGCCCACCAAGCCUACGAUCAGUAACUGGUGUGAGAGCACGACCAGUCACACGGGCACUGAGACACGGGCCCGACUCCUACGGGAGGCAGCAGUAAGGAAUAUUGGGCAAUGGACGCAAGUCUGACCCAGCCAUGCCGCGUGGAGGAUGAAGGUCCUCUGGAUUGUAAACUUCUUUUAUCUGGGAAGAAAUCCAUCUUUUCUUGGGUGGUUGACGGUACCAGAUGAAUAAGCUCCGGCUAACUUCGUGCCAGCCGCCGCUGUAACAC
rnacentral:rRNA from 1 species